GUGACUACAUGCAUUUGUCACACAGUCCUUUGACCAUUUUGGGAAUGUCUAGGUGACACAACCCUCACUUGUCACAACCCAGCAUCCUCUUAUUUUGCCUGCUUUUCUGCUUCCUAAAAACCUUUUCUUAAAAGAAUUGUUAACAUCCUGGUGACAUGAAGAAUUGUGCCUCUGAUAUAUUAAGGUUGUUAUUAGCUCACCAAUGGCCUCUCUCCUCCAACUCUCAGCUCUACUUUCAAUCUACACCCUGGAGGAACUACUUCUGUUUUCUGCUGCCCUGGCUGUUGGGCUCAGCAGCCACAGGCAACAGGCAGCAGGGAGGCUGUACACAAGAAGAAACAAAGCUUCUUCAGAAUAUUGCACAAAGCUGAGAUGCUCCAGAGAUGGACAAACACACAGAGAAGUCCAGAGUCCAAGCUACCAGAAAACAGAAACAAAUGAACAAACGGAACAAAACAGCAGAAAACUCCCUAUCCACACAACAACAUCGGAAAAACCAACUGCCUGUCGUUUGCCUUAACAGUGGCUUGUUAAAUAUGGAAUAAUAAGAAAAGCAGAGAUGAAAAGUGAUUGCAGGUUCUGCAGGUGCCAGACAGAGUACAAUCCGAUUUCACACACUUCGAGCUCAAAUAGCAAAUGUCUAGGAGCAAACUCUUCCCCAAGGAAAGCUGAGAGACUCCAGUCUGUUGGGAUGAAAGCAAGACAAACUCUCAACCCUGGUUUUAAGGAUAACAAAUAACUAAUCUGCUCACAGCCUGUCCCCAACCCUUCCCAUCAGAAUGCCAACAACUCCUUUCUCCCUCAAUGGCUUCUGGGGAACUCCUGACCUCCCUCCCUCCUGUCUUAUCUUCUCCUAACUUAUUUCUUCCGCUCCUUCUGGUGAUUUAAAAAUUUGAUUUAGAUGUUUUACCUAGUGUGAUUUUCAUCAACUUGACACAAGCCCAGACUCACCUGAAGAGAGAUAACUUCCAUUCAGAAAAUGGCUCCACAAGACUGGACCACAGACAGAUGGGCUUUUGGGGUAGUUCCUUGACUAAGGAUUGGUGUGGGAGGGUCCAGAACACUGGGGCUGUGCACCCCUGGGAAGGGAGUCCUGGGAUGUAUAAAAAAGCAAGGUGAACAAGCCACAUGGAACAUGCUAGUAAACAGUGCUUCUCCAUA